GUAAUGAUUCCUACAACAUUAAUGCACCAUAUCCCAUCAGAACUCCACAGUUAAGCGUGUUUGGGCUAGAGUAGUACUGGGAUGGGUGACCUCCUAUGGCAUUUUGCAAACUUAGACC
rfam:Picea glauca, whole genome shotgun sequence.